GAUGAACGCUGGCGGCGUGCCUAAUACAUGCAAGUCGAGCGAACGGACGAGAAGCUUGCUUCUCUGAUGUUAGCGGCGGACGGGUGAGUAACACGUGGAUAACCUACCUAUAAGACUGGGAUAACUUCGGGAAACCGGAGCUAAUACCGGAUAAUAUUUUGAACCGCAUGGUUCAAAAGUGAAAGACGGUCUUGCUGUCACUUAUAGAUGGAUCCGCGCUGCAUUAGCUAGUUGGUAAGGUAACGGCUUACCAAGGCAACGAUGCAUAGCCGACCUGAGAGGGUGAUCGGCCACACUGGAACUUAGACACGGUCCAGACUCCUACGGGAGGCAGCAGUAGGGAAUCUUCCGCAAUGGGCGAAAGCCUGACGGAGCACCGCCGCGUGAGUGAUGAAGGUCUUCGGAUCGUAAAACUCUGUUAUUAGGGAAGAACAUAUGUGUAAGUAACUGUGCACAUCUUGACGGUACCUAAUCAGAAAGCCACGGCUACCUACGUG
rnacentral:rRNA from 1 species